AGUUUUGUGAUUUAGUUGGUUAAAGCACCGGACUAGCGAUACGGGGUCGUAGGUUCAAAUCCCACCAAAAUAA
rnacentral:tRNA from 1 species